GUGUCAGCCGCCGCGGUAAUACGUAGGGUGCGAGCGUUGUCCGGAAUUAUUGGGCGUAAAGGGCUUGUAGGUGGCGUGUCGCGUCUGCCGUGAAAUGCUUCGGCUUAACCGGGGCAGUGCGGUGGGUACGGGCAUGCUUGAGUGUGGUAGGGGAGAUUGGAAUUCCUGGUGUAGCGGUGGAAUGCGCAGAUAUCAGGAGGAACACCGGUGGCGAAGGCGGAUCUCUGGGCCAUUACUGACGCUGAGGAGCGAAAGCGUGGGGAGCAAACAGGAUUAGAUACCCUGGUAGUCCACGCUGUAAACGUUGGGCACUAGGUGUGGGGACUGUUGUGGUUUCUGCGCCGUAGCUAACGCAUUAAGUGCCCCGCCUGGGGAGUACGGCCGCAAGGCUAAAACUCAAAUGAAUUGACGG
rnacentral:rRNA from 1 species